rnacentral:rRNA from 1 species
UACGGGGGGGGCAAGCGUUGUUCGGAAUUACUGGGCGUAAAGGGCUCGUAGGCGGCCAACUAAGUCAGACGUGAAAUCCCUCGGCUUAACCGGGGAACUGCGUCUGAUACUGGAUGGCUUGAGUUUGGGAGAGGGAUGCGGAAUUCCAGGUGUAGCGGUGAAAUGCGUAGAUAUCUGGAGGAAGGCCGGUGGCGAAGGCAGCCCCCUGGGCCAACACUGACGCUCAGGCACGAAAGCGUGGGGAGCAAACAGG